UCAAAAAAGGCCUAUUGCAUAAAGUGUGUGUUUAACAUGAUGUCUAUCAUUCAUUAUCAAAGAAGUAGAAUGCAUGUGAUAUAUAUAACAUUUUGGUGUUAAGCUUUUGAUAGCCCUUUUUUUUUUCUUUUUCUUUUUUUUUUACCGUGUUCUCCGGUAUCUCAAAAUUUUCAGCCAAGAAUUAAUCCGCAUUUGGAGGUCUUGUCAAGAAUUAACAGCUUCAUGAAUCGAACGCGGAUUAGAAGAUUCCCAACCUAGACGCUCAACCACUAGGCCACGUGUUAUGGUUAAGCUUUUGAUAGACUCUCUCAUCAAUGUGCUUCCCUUUGGUUCAUUCAGUAUUAAUUGUGUAAAUGUGACUCAAAGUAGUGGGAUUUUUUGGCAGAAAAGUUAUGUGGAAUUAUCUUCCAACGCCAAGCUACAUUACCCUACGUUAUAUUAAUUCUAACUCUAAUCUAACAGCUACCACAAACUUCAUUAUUUAUUGUUUUGUAACCCAAUGAUUGAGCUGAAGCUGUGCUUGUGGAGAUGCUUAUAAAGGACGUAAAAGCCGAUCACCUGUAGAAGAAGCAAAAGUAUCAACUAAACUUGUUCAAAGCAAAUAUCACGUCUAUCCUGUCCUUAUCAGAUCAAUUAGACUUAUUCAAAGAAUACAAAAGCCAGAUAAACGCAGCAGUUGGGGAUGAAACAGCCACUCUACUGUCAGAAAGCUUAUUCGUUCUUUCAAGGAAGCAAUGACCUAGCAAUUAAUUAUUAUUCUACACCACCGAGGAGUGGUCACUAUGAUACUCCAGCUUAUCAAAUCUCCUGCUUGAAUCAGCUUCAAAUUUCCUUCAGGAACUUUAUGUACUGGGAGCAAGAGUGAUUGGAGUACUAAGUAUGCCGCCAAUUGGGUGUGUCAUGUGUGCCAGCACAGAGAACACUCAAUGGAGGUACAAAGAGAGCCUGCUACGAGACUGAGAACCAAGCAGCAAUCCCCUUCAACACAAAGCUCUUCCCCCUUAUAGAUUCCCUCAAUAAGAGACUUCAAGAAGCAAAACUCAUUUACGUUGAUAUAUAUAACCCUUUGCUUUCGAUGAUCCAAGACCCUGCUCAAUAUGGAUUUGAAGUGGUAGAUAAAGGCCCUGUGCAACAAAUACACUCCAGGUACUUGCAAUGAUGCUUCCAACUACAUAUUCUGGGAUGGCUUUCAUCCCACAGAAACAGCUUACAGGAUCCUGACCUCUGCAAUAUUAAAGCAAG